GCAGGUGUGGUGGAAUCGGUAGACACGUUGGAUUCAAAAUCCAAUAUCGAAAGAUGUGUGGGUUCAAGUCCCACCACCUGUACCA
rnacentral:tRNA from 1 species